UAAGUGUUGUUGCAUAAAUACUUGUGUUUUCAUGAUGCACAGUUCAUAAUUGCUGUUAUAAUUUCAUGUAACAAUAUAACUUAAUUUGGUGUAAAGAUAAAAUGUAAUACAUGUUUAAGAACUAAAGGGUAGAAUAAGCUGCUAAAUGAUAUGUGGUUAACAGUGUAUCUAUCUCAUUCUGUAUAUUUACGUUUGUCCCGGAACUAAUGUUUUCUGUCUGUGUUACCGCUACAACGGUUUAAGUCGACACUCACUGCCUUGAAUUCCGGCGGAGCAGAUAGCUCCGAUGCUUGUUAAACUGCAUAAAAGUUAAAAAUGUGUUUGAAGUUAAUGCAGACAACCAAAUGGACAUUCAAGAGACUUCAAAGAACUUAGUAACCUCUUUUCACGACAAGCGGCCAACGAGUUCUCACGGCGAAUAAGGCAUAUACGACGUUCAAGGCGUACAUGGUGUGAAGUUGGAUGUACCAAAGAGACCCGAUGUGCCCACAGCAAUAAACGCCCGUUGCAAAGAAC